AUUGAACGAUGGCGGCAGGCCUAACACAUGCAAGUCGAGCGGAUGAAGGGAGCUUGCUCCUGGAUUCAGCGGCGGACGGGUGAGUAAUGCCUAGGAAUCUGCCUGGUAGUGGGGGAUAACGUCCGGAAACGGGCGCUAAUACCGCAUACGUCCUGAGGGAGAAAGUGGGGGAUCUUCGGACCUCACGCUAUCAGAUGAGCCUAGGUCGGAUUAGCUAGUUGGUGGGGUAAAGGCCUACCAAGGCGACGAUCCGUAACUGGUCUGAGAGGAUGAUCAGUCACACUGGAACUGGGACACGGUCCAGACUCCUACGGGAGGCAGCAGUGGGGAAUAUUGGACAAUGGGCGAAAGCCUGAUCCAGCCAUGCCGCGUGUGUGAAGAAGGUCUUCGGAUUGUAAAGCACUUUAAGUUGGGAGGAAGGGCAGUAAGUUAAUACCUUGCUGUUUUGACGUUACCAACAGAAUAAGCACCGGCUAACUUCGUG
rnacentral:rRNA from 1 species